rnacentral:rRNA from 1 species
GCUUGCACCUGGUGGCGAGUGGCGAACGGGUGAGUAAUACAUCGGAACAUGUCCUGUAGUGGGGGAUAGCCCGGCGAAAGCCGGAUUAAUACCGCAUACGAUCUACGGAUGAAAGCGGGGGACCUUCGGGCCUCGCGCUAUAGGGUUGGCCGAUGGCUGAUUAGCUAGUUGGUGGGGUAAAGGCCUACCAAGGCGACGAUCAGUAGCUGGUCUGAGAGGACGACCAGCCACACUGGGACUGAGACACGGCCCAGACUCCUACGGGAGGCAGCAGUGGGGAAUUUUGGACAAUGGGCGAAAGCCUGAUCCAGCAAUGCCGCGUGUGUGAAGAAGGCCUUCGGGUUGUAAAGCACUUUUGUCCGGAAAGAAAUCCUUGGCUCUAAUACAGUCGGGGGAUGACGGUACCGGAAGAAUAAGCACCGGCUAACUACGUGCCAGCAGCCGCGGUAAUACGUAGGGUGCGAGCGUUAAUCGGAAUUACUGGGCGUAAAGCGUGCGCAGGCGGUUUGCUAAGACCGAUGUGAAAUCCCCGGGCUCAACCUGGGAACUGCAUUGGUGACUGGCAGGCUAGAGUAUGGCAGAGGGGGGUAGAAUUCCACGUGUAGCAGUGAAAUGCGUAGAGAUGUGGAGGAAUACCGAUGGCGAAGCAGCCCCCUGGGCCAAUACUGACGCUCAUGCACGAAAGCGUGGGGAGCAAACA